ACGUAGGGUUCAAGCGUUAUCCGGAAUCACCGGGCGUAAAGCGUGCGUAGGUGGCGCGUUAAGUGCAAUGCGAAAUCCCGUGGCUCAACCAUGUGGACUGUAUUGCAUACUGGCGUGCUUGAGGAUAUGAGAGGCAAGUGGAAUUACUGGUGUAGCAGUGAAAUGCGUAGAGAUCAGUAGGAACACCAAUGGCGAAGGCAGCUUGCUGGCAUAUUUCGGACGCUAAGGCACGAAAGCGUGGGGAGCGAACAGGA
rnacentral:rRNA from 1 species